rnacentral:lncRNA from 1 species
CCAUUGCGUAAACGUGUGUCUCGAGGAGAUUUUAUACGCGACGCGCAGAUAUCGCGGUUCGAUUAAGUUUUCUUAAAACUCUUGCGCGUCGGAUAAACUGAGAUUAUACUGGCAAGAGAGGGUGAUAUCGCAGUUCCACGUAACGCCAGAGUGUUUGCCCCGCUUAAGCGCGACUGUCCACCGCAAGAGAUACACACGCGCACGAGAUCGCUUUAUCUUCUAUUCCAGCGCGAUUCUAUCUUUGUGCCGGUGAUAGGUAAUCCAAAGCACAGGUGCAUCGCGAGUACCAGCCAUAAAUCGCGCGAUUAGCUCGACCAGCGAGCAAACUGGUUUUCUAUGUGCAUCUAAUCCAAACGAGGCAAGGUCUGUUGUACCUUGAACCACGCAGAAAGAAAGGUUUCAUCGUUGCGACGUCAUAGAAGAACUAUCGUUUGCAAUGUCCACGACACUCGGCAUGAUGCCCGCGGUAACGCUAUCGACAGGAAAACUCAACCUAACACGGGACGAUCGAUCGUUGCCACCGGACGUAGAUAAUCUCGUCUCUCGAGAGCAAUCGUUCGAGCUGCAAGCAUCGAUAUGAUAUUAUUUAGAUCUUGGUUUUGUUUGGAUUAGUGUGAGAGCAAUGGCGCGUUUCAGAUAAAUGUAUCCGAAGGCAAGAAUAUUCUGCGAUCUCUGCGAUUUUAUUACACGGACAGCGUGACAUUGGCAUUGACACACGACUUUUCAGUAAGCGCAUGGAUUUAGGAAAUAUUAGAUUAUAUACAUACAGGCGAUUGAUGUACAAAUUCAUGUCGAAUGAUUCAAUAUAACUCAAAAACGUACAUGAAAAACCAUUAAUAUGCUCCGAAAAGAGCGACAAUUAUUGAAGAAGCUUUUGUAAGAAACGUAAAUCGUAAGCGAAAUCAAUGUUGCAAAUAUACUUUUAAUAUACAUUAUUAUUUCUUAUUUCCCUGACAUGUUUGAUUCGAGCAUGGAUCGAAUAGAACCGAAAUCGGGUCGCUGCAAAAAUUCGACGCAAUCGUCUUCUGGAGCCGAAGAAGCCCCAGAUACGCGCGCAGCUUCCCCCCGUUUUCAGCAGCCCGGCUUUGAUCUCCAUUCGAAGGAUUGCCGAGGGAUCCAGUCCCGGACUCGCAAAAGUUCGUCGGAUCUGUCUGACUCGGCGUGAUUCGGGCUCAAGGCAUCGGCCUCGAUCGAACGACGAAGUAACGCCGUGCCGUGCCGCCGCCGGAUGGUGGUGGAUAGCAAAGCGACGAUGGUGGGGUUCGCAUCGCCGGAAGAGAGAAGUCGGCGGCGAUGUGGGAGCCCGGUUGCGAGAGACGCGAGAAAGUGCGAGCGAGAUGGUAAAAAGGGAAGUAAACCAGGAAGGAUAGCCAGGGUGCAGAAGGGGUACCCGGGAAGGCGGGAGGGCAACCACGGGGGACGGAAGGAGCGGGGACUGGCGGGGAGAUUGGGUGAAGAAGCAGUGGGGAAGAACGCGACGGCGUGGUGGGAUUGGUAGCGGCGGGCGAGCGGACCCGGCGAGACUGGGGGAACGGCGGGGAAGGCAGGGGAAGUCCUGGGGAUCAAUGGACGCAACCCCGCGGGGCACUACACUCUCUCGUGGAUACUACGUAGUAAAGCCCGCCACUGCGUAGUAAUACUAUGCCCGCCGCUACGUACUACGCCUGCCGCUAUUACACCGGGCGGCCGUACGUCCGCGUAUCUCCCUCCCUCUCCCCUCCUGGUAACCCCCUUCUUCCCUCCUCGUUCCGAACCAGCUCUUCUUCUACCCGCCGCUCGCCGACUGCGCACUUUCCUCUCUCGCGCGUCCUCACGUUCUACCCGCGCAACUUCGUCCUCUCUCUCUCCCUCUUUCUCGUCCCUCUUCAACCGCGCAGCACGAGCGCCGACCGUACUCCCGCGCUAACUUCGAUCCGCCAAUGGCGACGUGGCGUAGGUUGCCGCGCGCGGGAAAACUCAUCUCUCGACGCAUACACGCACUGCCAGGGUUCUAUCUCUCUCUCCCUCAUUCUCAUCCUCAUCCUACGUCCCCUUCGGGCUCGUAGAUACGCGGGCGACGGGUGUCGGGUACACAUCCGAGGUGGCGGACGGACGCGCGGGCGUCGUCCCCCGUCUGAGAUGAGAAUUCAGUCUCAAGUAUAUUCGCCGGUGGCUGCUGGAUAAUCGGAUUAUCUGACUACCCCUGGCGAUGUGUAAGCUUUUUCUAGCCUUACGGGAAAGCGUAAUUUCGUCAAUUAGCCGGAACUUUAUUUCGCCCCGAUUACUUUAUUAUUGGGUGUGGUUUCGCUGAUAUUCGGAAGAUCUCUUGGCUUCUGUGUUGCAGAGACAAUGCUGAUGAGAUAUGCCGAUGUAUAGGCAAGCUGUAGGAAUACGUUGCUGUCACGCAACUAUCUUGGAUGGCGCGAAUUGGAAGCUGAUACGGCUGCAUUUUUCAGGAUGUAAAAAUUAACAAAUGUAGUGUACAGAAUAGAUUGUAAGGAAUGCAGUUGUUGUUAUGUAGGGCAAACUAAGCGCCACUUAAAGACACGAGUUAAUGAACAUAUUUGUGAUAUCAAGAAGGAUGUUAGCUGCCAGUCGGUGGUUAGCAAUCAUAGACUGUGUCAUAACCAUAAUUUUGAUUGGUGUAAUACUAAAGUUUUACAUCAGGAAAGUAAUCGCAGGAAGAGAGAGAUCGCGGAAAUGUGGUUUAUCAAAUGUAAUAACAAUUCUAUAUCUUCCUUGUAUAUAUGACUCUAUUUUUAAAUGUGUUUGAUGACUGUUUUCGAGAUUUGACUUUGUUUUGCUUGUUGACUGGCUUCUCUCUCUCAUUUGUGUUUCAUCUGCUGUGGUGUGUGACACGUUCUCUUAUUAAUCUGAGUGUUUGUUAAAGUUGUUUUCUGCCAGUAAGUUUAUUACAAUUGGACACAGUAUUUAAUUGUAUCAUUUAUAAGUUUAAUAUUCAUUUUUUAUUUUUAUUUUUUAUUUUCCUUUUAGAAAGCGAUUUUUAUGUAAAACUAAAGUUUGGGGUUUUUUCACGCUUGAGAAGGACCGAAAUAGUUGGAUCGAAACGUUGCGUGAUUUGUCAUCACUGUAUAACCAGUUUGUGGUCGAAUAAAUAAAUUUCUAUAUAUAUUGAUUCACUGGUGA